UACGUAGGGGGCUAGCGUUGUUCGGAUUUACUGGGCGUAAAGCGCGCGUAGGCGGACUAUUAAGUCAGGGGUGAAAUCCCGGGGCUCAACCCCGGAACUGCCUUUGAUACUGGUAGUCUUGAGUUCGAGAGAGGUGAGUGGAAUUCCGAGUGUAGAGGUGAAAUUCGUAGAUAUUCGGAGGAACACCAGUGGCGAAGGCGGCUCACUGGCUCGAUACUGACGCUGAGGUGCGAAAGCGUGGGGAGCAAACAGG
rnacentral:rRNA from 1 species